rnacentral:tRNA from 1 species
CGCUAAGAAGCUAAACAAGAAACAGCAUUAGCCUUUUAAGCUAAAGAUUGGUGACUCCUAACCACCCUUAACGA